CGCAAGCCAUUGAGACUGGAAAUUCUUGGAGUUGGUAUUGUUUUUGUAAAUUGACUAAUAGAGAGUUAGGGAAGCCUGGAGACUUGUUGGGGGUGAGUUCUCUAAAUGGCUUUAGGCUUGUCUGUGUACUUUUGCAACGAGAUUGUCUAGAACUGGAGCUUAGUCCAGCUGGUACAAUACCAACUCCCCUUCUAGUUCCCAAAGGCGAUGUCCAGACACAGACUUUAUGAUUAUUAUAUUUUUCAAUGCCAGUGCUGCUCAGCCCUCAGCAGAACUUCAGUUUCCAUGAAAUAAACAAUGACUAUAUAAAAUUC
rnacentral:sRNA from 1 species